rnacentral:sRNA from 1 species
GUCGCUGCAAAAUCAGCGACCGGGUUUGGCGACCCGAGUUCAUGCAGGCGCACAGGCGCCCCCAUUACGAUUGCAGGCGCUUUUUUU